UACAAAACCAAAUUAAACAUGUAAUAGGUCAACAUUAUAUUUUAAAUUAGAUAUUAUCACAUCUUUACAUACAGUUUUAUGAAAUACCACUUGAAUAUAUAUUUUUUUUCUUUACUUUUUGAACAUGAAAUUCCUGAAAUUUCCAAUUUUUUUCCCCAAAACUUGAAAAAAAACUUUAGGGCCGGAUGCAAAAAAAUAAGGUAGGUCGGGUAGCAGGAAACAAGACUAUAUUUUGUUUUGGCCUAACUAUAGAUGAACUGAAUUGCUCUAAUAUCUCAAGUUGUGUUUGAGUCACAUAUCACUAACUUGGAAAAGUCUGUUGACUGUAAAGAAAUGUUUUAUGUUAUUUUCCAAUAGAAAAAUUAAUUUUGAAUUGAGGAUUGAAAUGAGUUAAGAGAUCAAAUCAGCCAGGGAAAUUUGAAGAGUGGUGUUUAUGUUGUAUUAAAACAUUCAUUUUGUAGGUGGGAUGUUUUCAUUGUUAUAUUUCUUCCAGUUUAAUUUGCAAAGGUGAAGUCUUUCAUUUUGUGUGUGUAUUUAGGUAUAGCUUUUACUGUAGGUAGUUUGUGUGGAAUAAAAAAGCUUUUCUGGAGAAGGGUGGAAUGGAUGAUUUGUGUUCAGGAGCUUUGUUGUCAUUUCUAUAAGAAACACAUGAUUAAGACAGAACAGACCUUUAAACAUCAGAGCUGGGAUCAGGUGCCAUGUAAGAGUGAGCAUCCCCUGCUGAUGAUGUUUUGUGGUCAGGAGCUUUGUUUUUCAUUUCUUUAAGAAACACAUUAAGUUAGAACAGACCCAUAAAACAUACUUGAAUUAAGAUAUUGUUUCUUGAAGAAUAAGGUAGGGCCUAGAAUAAAAAUUAUAAAAGUCAUGUAUUUUCUAGCUAUCUGUACUGUAUUGAAUUCAUUCCUUAAUGCGUUUUGUGGUGUAAUAUUGUAUGUAUAAUACACAGGGACUGUAGCAUACUAUGUGUAAAUUUACUGGAUCACUAAUCUAUUUGUAUGUAUAGUGGUAACAUAAAAUCAAGCAUUAGUAUGUUACAAGUCCAUGUAGUUUUAGUGCUUGUAAAUGCAUUCUAUUUAAUUGAUAUAUCUAAUGGAAUAUAAGAUUUGCAUCAUUUAGUUUAUUUAUGAUGAUGAUAUGAGGAUAUUUGUACCAAUGUAUUUUUGAGUGGGUAACCCUAUCCCAUGCCUCUUAUUAAUGUAUUGUGUACAUCUAAGGCCACACCAAUUUAAUUUCUUGUUUGUCGGACAUUUGAUGAGAAAAGUACGAGCGGGCUGGCGGCUAAAUAAUAAUAUUAUAACUUUUUUAAAGGCAAAAUUUUAAGGCGGUGUGUGCAAAAAUUUUUAGCGGAUAAUUAUAUUUUUCUGAUUUGCAGAGUAAGUAGAUUAAAAGUGCGAAAAAUAGAGCGGAAAGGGAACAGAAAACAGCACAGAAUUCCAAUAGUGCGGAAAUUUUAAAUUAAUAUUAUUUCUAUAGUUUUGUUGAAAUACGAGCGCGUUGUGUCCGACGAACAAUAAAUUUUAUUGGUGUGGACGAAUUAUAAUGCUUUGUAACAGUCUUGUUGCGACAUUUGAUUUUGAUGUAUGGUAUUGUCACUGUAAACUGACUUGAUAGUUAGUGCAAUAAUUUAUAAUUCUCAGGAUGGAUGAGGCGCUGCAAACUUUGGUCUGCUUUGAUGCUUUGUUACAGAAACUCUGUAUGUUAACAUGGGAAUGUCUUCAUCUGUAGGUACACAAAAACACAAACACACAUUGCAAAAUCGUGUUUACAGAUGUAUGUUAGAUUCUGGGGCUUAUUUAUUUUAAUAAUUCUGCAAGAAAAGUACAAAAACUUGCAAUGGAUUCUUAAUUUUACUCAAAGUCAAUUGAUGGGAACUAUUGGGAAGUAAAUAUAGUGAUAUUGAUUUUAUUCACUUAAAACAUUUAAAGCUUGCAAAGAUUUUCAAUUUAUUUUCAAAGUGCUAUCCAUUUGUUUGUGCCACUGAUUUUUGCGGUCAUAAUCACGCUUGUACGGACACGUUUGAUUGUCUCUGCUAUUAUUCUGAAGUGAAGGGUCUCGGACUUGACGUAUUUGAACACACCCAUGCAGUAUUUUGGGCUUUUCUAUUGGCUGACUUUAACAUAAUGAGUGUAACAACCAUUGCUAUUGGUUGAAAUAUUUGAACACAUCCAUGCAGUACUUUGUAUCUUACUUUAUUUAUGUCAGUUCUGCUUGCCAUCGUUUAUUUUUGUUUUGAAGAUACAUGAUGUAAAUUUUUCUGCUAAGAACAAUAAAUUAUUCAAAGAAAAUUCA